rnacentral:rRNA from 1 species
GGACCCGCACAAGCAGCGGAGCAUGUGGUUUAAUUCGAAGCAACGCGAAGAACCUUACCAAGGCUUGACAUCCCCUUGACAGAUGCAGAGAUGUGUCCUCCUCUUCGGAGGCAAGGGAGACAGGUGGUGCAUGGUUGUCGUCAGCUCGUGUCGUGAGAUGUUGGGUUAAGUCCCGCAACGAGCGCAACCCUUAUCCUUAGUUGCCAGCAUGUAAAGAUGGGCACUCUAAGGAGACUGCCGGUGAUAAACCGGAGGAAGGUGGGGAUGACGUCAAAUCAUCAUGCCCCUUAUGUCUUGGGCUACACACGUGCUACAAUGGUCGGUACAACGGGCAGCGAAGGAGCGAUCCGGAGCGAAUCCCAAUAAACCGAUCCCAGUUCGGAUUGCAGGCUGCAACUCGCCUGCAUGAAGUCGGAGUUGCUAGUAAUCGCGAAUCAGAACGUCGCGGUGAAUGCGUUCCCGGGUCUU